rnacentral:lncRNA from 1 species
AUGAAUUCAAAUCACGACAUGCAAUCGCUAUGCCGAAAGACUAUUUAGAGUGUUAAUUUGAUUCAUGUACAAUCAUAGUGGGUAAAAGAUAAAAAUACUACAACAACAAAAUCGUGGAAUCUGGAGAGUGAUAUCAAGUAUAAAAAACAAAUACAAUAGUGAAGAAUUCACGUUGAAUACAAACAGAGAAAAGAAAAAUAGCGACAAUAAAUUAUAUGAUAAUUGAAGUCAAUGUCACACCCCAAAUCCGGAUGUGAUGGCACAUGUCCAUUUCCCACUGGACACGUCAGCCUAACCCAACCACAACGAUAGAGAAGUAGAAAUACGAGAAUAAAAGAUAAUAAAUAAGCGGAAGACUUUAAUUAAGACUCAACACUACCCAGAAUUUGGUUGUCACAUGUACAAACCUCUAAUUACAUAAUUCGAAUAAAAAUAUGCAAGUCUCAAAGUAUAGUUCUCGAAUGGAACAAAACUGAAAGUAAAGAUAACUCAAGGGCACGUCUGGAAUGAACCGCUACCUCUCGAGUAUGUCCCGAAGCUCAAUCUGCUAAAGAAAAAUACUAAGCCGAAUCUGAGAGAGCUGCCAACCUACACAAUUGUGUAGAAGCAAGGGUGAGUACCGAAAACCACAGGUACUCGCAAGUAACUCUAAACUAAGCAAAACUAGCAGCUACAAACAACUCCUUUCAAUCCCAACCGAACCACCGAAACUUCAAUCUAGCAGCAAACCAACCAACCUAUACUAAACAGAUCAUAUUCAACAGCCAGAACCAACAGUAUAUCCUCAUCAACCUCAGAUCAACAAAUAAGAGCAAGUAGAUCAAAUUUCACAUAAGAAGGGUAAACCGAUACAAUCCAUACAUCACAUACAAAGAUAAGGCAAAUGCGAUGCAAAAUGCAAUAAUGAUGUCAUGUAGUCGUGAUGCAUGUUUGUCCUACGAUACACAUCUGUUGACAUAAUCAGUCCGCGCUGAAUAUACUCAAAUCAGAACCCAUGGGGGCCACACAUGGACCAUGUAUCACCGCCGGAACCAGAUCCCAUCGGCAUCCAAAUCGCUAGCCGGAGCUAGUCCAUCUCAUAUAUAUCUCUAGCCGGAGCUAGUCUUAACUGUGUCUUAUAUCCAUCCAUCCUCAUAUCAGUGUCUCAGAACUCAUGCAACAGAUAGUUCACACAUGAGAUGAAUGAUGAAUAUGCACAUGUCAUCAAUCACAAUCACAUCACGAUCACAUCAUAGUAUUACACAUCAUCUGUCUCACUCACAACCAUAUCACGACCACAUCAUAGUAUUACACAUCAUCUGUCUCAAUCACAACUAUAUCACGACCACAUCAUGGUAUUACACAUCAUCUGUCUCAAUCACAACUAUAUCACGACCACAUCAUGGUAUUACACAUCAUCUGUCUCAAUCACAACUAUAUCACGACCACAUCAUGGUAUUACACAUCAUCUGUCUCAAUCACGACCACAUCAUAGUAAUACACAUUAUCUGUCUCAACAUCAAUGUUUGUAUCAAUCAUAGUCUACUCAUGCUCUUCUAUCCCCUCAAUAUCAGUUAUUACAUGACUUAAUCAACAAAUUCAAGUCACAUAUAACACAUUUAGCUCGUUUUAUUCCCCAUCUUUCAUUUACAACAAUUUCAAUCAACAAAUAAAACUCAUCUUCAAUCCUCAUGACUCCCCAACACAAUUAGGAAAGUAGUCAUGCGUAGUCUAAGAGUUUAACAAAGUUUAGAAGUCACUUGCCUCAAAACACUUCAACUAGUAACUCAAAUUUGAGUUUUACCCUUCCGAGCACGCUCCAAAUCACCACAAUCUAUUCAUAAAUGGAAUCCCACAAUAAAUACGAAUCUAACAACACCAAUAUCGUGAAAUUUGGAGAACAAGGGUAAAAUGGUCAAAAAUCUCGUUCCGGAAAAUAUUCUCGAAAUCUGGAAAUUUUUAGUGAAAAAUGUUCCCCAAGAAAUUUAGAAUCCAAUAGUGAAAACCGUUUCGAAAAAGGAGUUGAAAUGAGUUCACAAACUCAAUUUGAAGGAAAAUUCAUGUUCUUGAAGAAGCCCAAAAUAUUCGGAUCCGAAACCCCGACUCGAAAAUGAAAUAUUUCUUGAAAAACAUCUUACCCAUGCUUAGAUAAGUUCAAAUAUGAAAUUUCAUCAAAAACGGAGUUAAGAUCGACCUUGAAAUUCUCAAUUUAUCAAACUUUAACUUUACCGGGAAAGUCCAAAUUGUACGCGGUUAAUAUGAUGAAAAUAAUCGAUGAAUCAAUAAUUUUAUGUUAAAAUCAGUUUACCCAUAACAUAAGGAUCGUAAAUAUACCUUUUUCAUCAAAAAGGGAGUCCAAAUCGAUAAAACCCCAUUUUUUUCCAAGAGGUUUACGUAUAGGGAAAAAAAACCAGAUAAAGAAAUUAUGAGAAAAUGUCGAAUUGAAGAUUGAAUACUAACCCUCAUAUUAAUUCAAGAAGAAACCCGUAAGAAUCACUCCAUUCCGAUCUCUAGAACUCCCGAUAUGCUCAAAAUACCAAAUGAACACAGUCUGAGAUUUUUAUAACAGUGCAUGACUGUUAUGCACCAGAAAAACAGCAGUUAAAUCCUUCACUAAAAAGGCCGUAAUUUCCUCAUACGAUAGUGAAAUGACCCGAUUCUUUUUUGUAAAUGUCUUAAAUAAUGAUACGGACCUGCUCGUUCAAUCGGAGCUCAAUUUCAUGCUCGUUUGCCCAGUCAAAUAUCAUUUCUACUCGGUAAACAAUUAUUUCUUAUUUGCGAUAAAAGUCCAAUCUCGGGUUAGCGAAAAUGCACCAAAAUUUGCAGAUAAGUCCUAUAAUUCAUGCUGAAAAUCUCAGAACCUUCGGAGUUUUUUUUUCAACCUUUAAAACUAAUAAUGAACCCUUUAGUUGCCACAAUUUGCUGAAAUAGUGUCAAAGCAUCCAAGAAGCUUAAAAGCUCACCAAAAACUCAAUUGGCACUUCCCGAACACAAACCAAAUAUGCUACUAGCUUGAAAAUGACAUUUUGGACUCAAUGAAAUCGUCGGAAUUUGAAUUCGAGGUCUCCUUGACCCGGUAUCCGAUAAGGCGUCAAGAAACUAACUUUAGGCUCAAAAACUCGAAACGCACUCGGAGCCUCUAAAAAAUUCAACCAAGACUCAUUCUAGACUUAGAAUCACCCCCUGAAUCCAACGGUGCCCUCGGAAUUCCAUUUCGAGCACCGAAACCUCGUUUGUUGACCAAAGUCAACUCUUGAUCAAAAUUUCACAAUUUUAGCAACUUAGGACCUCAAAUCUUUGUUUUAACUCCAAAUUCGACUCCUUAAAUUCUCAUAGACCCGUUUCAACAUUCUAAAACUACUGGAAUCGACGGAAAUUCGAUUCGAGUCUCGAAACUCCAAAUGACUUGAAAUAGCACUUUUAACCAAACUUUAACUCUUAAAAACUCAACUUUCCAAAAACUCAACUUUUCAUCAAUUUUCCUCCAAACCAACUUCUAAAAUACAACCAUUAAGACUCGAGGCAACUAUCGGGAGGGGUAAAACGGUCAUUUUAUGAAAAUUUCCAAAAAUGACCAUUAGGGUCAUUACAGUCAAGGAGACCAAGAUUGAAGAACAAGAUAGUAG